CGGCGUGCCAGGCGCAGGGCUGGGAGGCGCAGGCGACGGCGGGGGCACACCCGGUCCGGGGCUGGGCGGCUCCGGCGAAGGCGGCGGCGUGCCAGGCGCAGGGCUGGGAGGCGCAGGCGACGGCGGGGGCACACCCGGCGCGGGGCUGGGCGGCUCCGGCGAAGGCGGCGGCGUGCCAGGCGCAGGGCUGGGAGGCGCAGGCGACGGCGGGGGCACACCCGGCGCGGGGCUGGGCGGCUCCGGCGAAGGCGGCGGCGUGCCAGGCGCAGGGCUGGGAGGCGCAGGCGACGGCGGGGGCACACCCGGCGCGGGGCUGGGCGGCUCCGGCGAAGGCGGUGGCGUGCCAGGCGCAGGGCUGGGAGGCGCAGGCGACGGCGGGGGCACACCCGGCGCGGGGCUAGGCGGCUCUGGCGAAGGCGGCGGCGUACCAGGCGCAGGGCUGGGAGGCGCAGGCGACGGCGGGGGCACACCCGGACCGGGGCUGGGCGGCUCCGGCGAAGGUGGCGGCGUGCCAGGCGCGGGGCUGGGAGGCGCAGGCGACGGCGGGGGCACACCCGGCGCGGGGCUGGGCGGCUCCGGCGAAGGCGGCGCAGGGCUGGGAGGCGCAGGGCUGGGCGGCUCCGGCGAAGGCGGCGGCGUGCCAGGCGCAGGGCUGGGAGGCGAAGGCGAAGGCGGGGGCACACCCGGCGCGGGGCUGGGCGGCUCCGGCGAAGGCGGCGGCGUGCCAGGCGCAGGGCUGGGAGGCGCAGGCGACGGCGGGGGCACACCCGGCGCGGGGCUGGGCGGCUCCGGCGAAGGUGGCGGCGUGCCAGGCGCAGGGCUGGGAGGCGCAGGCGACGGCGGGGGUACACCCGGACCGGGGCUGGGCGGCUCCGGCGAAGGCGGCGGCGUGCCAGGCGCAGGGCUGGGAGGCGCAGGCGACGGCGGGGGCACACCCGGCGCGGGGCUGGGCGGCUCCGGCGAAGGUGGCGGCGUGCCAGGCGCAGGGCUGGGAGGCGCAGGCGACGGCGGGGGCACACCCGGCGCGGGGCUGGGCGGCUCCGGCGAAGGCGGCGGCGUGCCAGGCGCAGGGCUGGGAGGCGCAGGCGACGGCGGGGGCACGCCCGGCGCGGGGCUGGGCGGCUCCGGCGAAGGCGGCGGCGUGCCAGGCGCAGGGCUGGGAGGCGCAGGCGACGGCGGGGGCACGCCCGGACCGGGGCUGGGCGGCUCCGGCGAAGGCGGCGGCGUGCCAGGCGCAGGGCUGGGAGGCGCAGGCGACGGCGGGGGCACACCCGGCGCGGGGCUGGGCGGCUCCGGCGAAGGCGGCGGAGUACCAGGCGCAGGGCUGGGAGGGGCAGGCGACGGCGGGGGCACACCCGGCGCGGGGCUGGGCGGCUCCGGCGAAGGCGGCGGCGUGCCAGGCGCAGGGCUGGGAGGCGCAGGGCGACGGCGGGGGCACACCCGGCGCGGGGCUGGGCGGCUCCGGCGAAGGCGGCGGCGUGCCAGGCGCAGGGCUGGGAGGCGCAGGCGACGGCGGGGGCACACCCGGCGCGGGGCUGGGCGGCUCCGGCGAAGGUGGCGGCGUGCCAGGCGCAGGGCUGGGAGGCGCAGGCGACGGCGGGGGCACACCCGGACCGGGGCUGGGCGGCUCCGGCGAAGGCGGCGGCGUGCCAGGCGCAGGGCUGGGAGGCGCAGGCGACGGCGGGGGCACACCCGGCGCGGGGCUGGGCGGCUCCGGCGAAGGCGGCGGCGUGCCAGGCGCAGGGCUGGGAGGUGCAGGCGACGGCGGGGGCACACCCGGCGCGGGGCUGGGCGGCUCCGGCGAAGGCGGUGGCGUGCCAGGCGCAGGGCUGGGAGGCGCAGGCGACGGCGGGGGCACACCCGGCGCGGGGCUAGGCGGCUCUGGCGAAGGCGGCGCAGGGCUGGGAGGCGCAGGGCUGGGAGGCGCAGGCGACGGCGGGGGCACACCCGGUGCGGGGCUGGGCGGCUCCGGCGAAGGCGGCGGAGUACCAGGCGCAGGGCUGGGAGGCGCAGGCGACGGCGGGGGCACGCCCGGACCGGGGCUGGGCGGCUCCGGCGAAGGUGGCGGCGCACCAGGCGCGGGGCUGGGAGGCGCAGGCGACGGCGGGGGCACGCCCGGCGCGGGGCUGGGCGGCUCCGGCGAAGGAGGCGGCGUGCCAGGCGCAGGGCUGGGAGGCGCAGGCGACGGCGGGGGCACACCCGGUCCGGGGCUGGGCGGCUCCGGCGAAGGCGGCGGCGUGCCAGGCGCAGGGCUGGGAGGCGCAGGCGACGGCGGGGGCACACCCGGCGCGGGGCUGGGCGGCUCCGGCGAAGGCGGCGGCGUGCCAGGCGCAGGGCUGGGAGGCGCAGGCGACGGCGGGGGCACACCCGGCGCGGGGCUGGGCGGCUCCGGCGAAGGCGGCGGCGUGCCAGGCGCAGGGCUGGGAGGCGCAGGCGACGGCGGGGGCACACCCGGCGCGGGGCUGGGCGGCUCCGGCGAAGGCGGUGGCGUGCCAGGCGCAGGGCUGGGAGGCGCAGGCGACGGCGGGGGCACACCCGGCGCGGGGCUAGGCGGCUCUGGCGAAGGCGGCGGCGUACCAGGCGCAGGGCUGGGAGGCGCAGGCGACGGCGGGGGCACACCCGGACCGGGGCUGGGCGGCUCCGGCGAAGGUGGCGGCGUGCCAGGCGCGGGGCUGGGAGGCGCAGGCGACGGCGGGGGCACACCCGGCGCGGGGCUGGGCGGCUCCGGCGAAGGCGGCGCAGGGCUGGGAGGCGCAGGGCUGGGAGGCGCAGGCGACGGCGGGGGCACACCCGGCGCAGGGCUGGGCGGCUCCGGCGAAGGCGGUGGCGUGCCAGGCGCAGGGCUGGGAGGCGCAGGCGACGGCGGGGGCACACCCGGCGCGGGGCUAGGCGGCUCUGGCGAAGGCGGCGCAGGGCUGGGAGGCGCAGGGCUGGGAGGCGCAGGCGACGGCGGGGGCACACCAGGUCCGGGGCUGGGCGGCUCCGGCGAAGGCGGCGGCGUGCCAGGCGCAGGGCUGGGAGGCGCAGGCGACGGAGGGGGCACACCCGGCGCGGGGCUGGGCGGCUCCGGCGAAGGCGGCGGCGUGCCAGGCGCAGGGCUGGGAGGCGCAGGCGACGGAGGGGGCACACCCGGCGCGGGGCUGGGCGGCUCCGGCGAAGGCGGCGGCGUGCCAGGCGCAGGGCUGGGAGGCGCAGGCGACGGCGGGGGCACACCCGGACCGGGGCUGGGCGGCUCCGGCGAAGGCGGCGGCGUGCCAGGCGCAGGGCUGGGAGGCGCAGGCGACGGCGGGGGCACACCCGGCGCGGGGCUAGGCGGCUCUGGCGAAGGCGGCGCAGGGCUGGGAGGCGCAGGGCUGGGAGGCGCAGGCGACGGCGGGGGCACACCCGGCGCGGGGCUGGGCGGCUCCGGCGAAGGAGGCGGCGUGCCAGGCGCAGGGCUGGGAGGCGCAGGCGACGGAGGGGGCACACCCGGCGCGGGGCUGGGCGGCUCCGGCGAAGGCGGCGGCGCGCCAGGCGCAGGGCUAGGAGGCGCAGGCGACGGCGGGGGCACACCCGGCGCAGGGCUGGGCGGCUCUGGCGAAGGAGGCGGCGUGCCAGGCGCAGGGCUGGGAGGCGCAGGCGACGGAGGGGGCACACCCGGCGCGGGGCUGGGCGGCUCCGGCGAAGGCGGCGGCGCGCCAGGCGCAGGGCUAGGAGGCGCAGGCGACGGCGGGGGCACACCCGGCGCGGGGCUGGGCGGCUCCGGCGAAGGCGGCGGCGUGCCAGGCGCAGGGCUGGGAGGCGCAGGCGACGGCGGGGGCACACCAGGUCCGGGGCUAGGCGGCUCUGGCGAAGGCGGCGGCGUGCCAGGCGCAGGGCUGGGAGGCGCAGGCGACGGAGGGGGCACACCCGGCGCGGGGCUGGGCGGCUCCGGCGAAGGCGGCGGCGUGCCAGGCGCAGGGCUGGGAGGCGCAGGCGACGGCGGGGGCACACCCGGCGCGGGGCUGGGCGGCUCCGGCGAAGGCGGCGGCGUGCCAGGCGCAGGGCUGGGAGGCGCAGGCGACGGCGGGGGCACACCCGGCGCGGGGCUAGGCGGCUCCGGCGAAGGCGGCGGAGUACCAGGCGCAGGGCUGGGAGGCGCAGGCGACGGCGGGGGCACACCAGGUCCGGGGCUGGGCGGCUCCGGCGAAGGAGGCGGCGUGCCAGGCGCAGGGCUGGGAGGCGCAGGCGACGGAGGGGGCACACCCGGCGCGGGGCUGGGCGGCUCCGGCGAAGGCGGCGGCGCGCCAGGCGCAGGGCUAGGAGGCGCAGGCGACGGCGGGGGCACACCCGGCGCAGGGCUGGGCGGCUCCGGCGAAGGAGGCGGCGUGCCAGGCGCAGGGCUGGGAGGCGCAGGCGACGGCGGGGGCACACCCGGCGCGGGGCUAGGCGGCUCUGGCGAAGGCGGCGCAGGGCUGGGAGGCGCAGGGCUGGGAGGCGCAGGCGACGGCGGGGGCACACCCGGCGCGGGGCUGGGCGGCUCCGGCGAAGGCGGCGGCGUGCCAGGCGCAGGGCUGGGAGGCGCAGGCGACGGCGGGGGCACACCCGGCGCAGGGCUGGGCGGCUCCGGCGAAGGCGGCGGCGUGCCAGGCGCAGGGCUGGGAGGCGCAGGCGACGGAGGGGGCACACCCGGCGCGGGGCUAGGCGGCUCCGGCGAAGGCGGCGGCGUGCCAGGCGCAGGGCUGGGAGGCGCAGGCGACGGCGGGGGCACACCCGGCGCGGGGCUGGGCGGCUCCGGCGAAGGCGGCGGCGUGCCAGGCGCAGGGCUGGGAGGCGCAGGCGACGGCGGGGGCACACCCGGCGCGGGGCUGGGCGGCUCCGGCGAAGGUGGCGGAGUACCAGGCGCAGGGCUGGGAGGCGCAGGCGACGGCGGGGGCACACCCGGCGCAGGGCUGGGCGGCUCCGGCGAAGGCGGCGGCGUGCCAGGCGCAGGGCUAGGAGGCGCAGGCGACGGAGGGGGCACACCCGGCGCGGGGCUAGGCGGCUCCGGCGAAGGUGGCGGCGUACCAGGCGCAGGGCUGGGAGGCGCAGGCGACGGCGGGGGCACACCCGGCGCGGGGCUGGGCGGCUGCGGCGAAGGUGGCGGCGUACCAGGCGCAGGGCUGGGAGGCGCAGGCGACGGCGGGGGCACACCCGGCGCGGGGCUAGGCGGCUCCGGCGAAGGCGGCGGAGUACCAGGCGCAGGGCUGGGAGGCGCAGGCGACGGCGGGGGCACACCCGGCGCGGGGCUAGGCGGCUCCGGCGAAGGCGGCGGAGUACCAGGCGCAGGGCUGGGAGGCGCAGGCGACGGCGGGGGCACACCCGGCGCGGGGCUAGGCGGCUCCGGCGAAGGUGGCGGAGUACCAGGCGCAGGGCUGGGAGGCGCAGGCGACGGCGGGGGCACACCAGGUCCGGGGCUGGGCGGCUCCGGCGAAGGUGGCGGCGUGCCAGGCGCAGGGCUGGGAGGCGCAGGCGACGGCGGGGGCACACCCGGCGCGGGGCUGGGCGGCUGCGGAGAAGGAGGCGGCGUGCCAGGCGCAGGGCUGGGAGGCGCAGGCGACGGCGGGGGCACACCCGGCGCGGGGCUGGGCGGCUCCGGCGAAGGCGGCGGCGCGCCAGGCGCAGGGCUGGGAGGCGCAGGCGACGGCGGGGGCACACCCGGCGCGGGGCUAGGCGGCUCUGGCGAAGGCGGCGGCGUGCCAGGCGCAGGGCUGGGAGGCGCAGGCGACGGAGGGGGCACACCCGGCGCGGGGCUGGGCGGCUCCGGCGAAGGCGGCGGCGUGCCAGGCGCAGGGCUGGGAGGCGCAGGCGACGGAGGGGGCACACCCGGCGCGGGGCUGGGCGGCUCCGGCGAAGGCGGCGGCGUGCCAGGCGCAGGGCUGGGAGGCGCAGGCGACGGCGGGGGCACACCCGGCGCGGGGCUGGGCGGCUCCGGCGAAGGCGGCGGCGUGCCAGGCGCAGGGCUGGGAGGCGCAGGCGACGGCGGGGGCACACCCGGCGCGGGGCUAGGCGGCUCCGGCGAAGGCGGCGGAGUACCAGGCGCAGGGCUGGGAGGCGCAGGCGACGGCGGGGGCACACCAGGUCCGGGGCUGGGCGGCUCCGGCGAAGGAGGCGGCGUGCCAGGCGCAGGGCUGGGAGGCGCAGGCGACGGCGGGGGCACACCCGGCGCGGGGCUGGGCGGCUCCGGCGAAGGCGGCGGAGUACCAGGCGCAGGGCUGGGAGGCGCAGGCGACGGCGGGGGCACACCCGGCGCGGGGCUAGGCGGCUCCGGCGAAGGCGGCGGAGUACCAGGCGCAGGGCUGGGAGGCGCAGGCGACGGCGGGGGCACACCCGGCGCGGGGCUAGGCGGCUCCGGCGAAGGCGGCGGCGUACCAGGCGCAGGGCUGGGAGGCGCAGGCGACGGCGGGGGCACACCCGGCGCGGGGCUAGGCGGCUCCGGCGAAGGUGGCGGCGUACCAGGCGCAGGGCUGGGAGGCGCAGGCGACGGCGGGGGCACACCCGGCGCGGGGCUGGGCGGCUCCGGCGAAGGAGGCGGCGUGCCAGGCGCAGGGCUGGGAGGCGCAGGCGACGGAGGGGGCACACCCGGCGCGGGGCUGGGCGGCUCCGGCGAAG
rnacentral:lncRNA from 1 species